CGGCGGACGGGUGAGUAAUGCCUAGGAAUCUGCCUGGUAUGGGGGACAACGUUUCGAAAGGAACGCUAAUACCGCAUACGUCCUACGGGAGAAAGCAGGGGACCUUCGGGCCUUGCGCUAUCAGAUGAGCCUAGGUCGGAUUAGCUAGUUGGUGAGGUAAUGGCUCACCAAGGCGACGAUCCGUAACUGGUCUGAGAGGAUGAUCAGUCACACUGGAACUGAGACACGGUCCAGACUCCUACGGGAGGCAGCAGCU
rnacentral:rRNA from 1 species